rnacentral:rRNA from 1 species
GAAAUUUCAUUCGCACUAGUGAUAGCUAGUUUCCCUGGAAAGAUAUAAAAGUGUGUUUGAAAGAUAUGAUUUAUAAUACUAAUUAUUAUAUAUUCAUGCGCUUUUUACUAAUUUUUUUGAGGAUAAGCUCAAAAAAAAGUGAAGAAUUUUUUAAUUGAAUUUACUAUAUGGGCUUGAGAUUGGCCACUAUAAAAGUUUUUUCCAAAAUAGUAACCUUAGUGUCAUAGAUAAAUAUAAUUUAGACUAACUUUUUACAGGGACAAAAACUUUAAUUUAAAUAAGUUUUAUGCCUAUGCUAGAAUGAGUAUUAAAACUUAAUUAUAAAAAGAUUUAUUCUUAUGUCUUCUUUAAAAAAAUUAAAUAAAACUAAUUAAUUAGAAGGAACUCGGCAAAUUUAGUUGUUUCGCCBGUUUAUCAAAAACAUGGCUCUUUGGUCAUACAAAUAUAAAGAGUCGGACCUGCCC